rnacentral:rRNA from 2 species
CUGAAUAUGGGGGGACCAUCCUCCAAGGCUAAAUACUCCUGACUGACCGAUAGUGAACCAGUACCGUGAGGGAAAGGCGAAAAGAACCCCGGCGAGGGGAGUGAAAAAGAACCUGAAACCGUGUACGUACAAGCAGUGGGAGCACAGAGCAAUCUGUGUGACUGCGUACCUUUUGUAUAAUGGGUCAGCGACUUAUAUUCUGUAGCAAGGUUAACCGAAUAGGGGAGCCGAAGGGAAACCGAGUCUUAACUGGGCGUUAAGUUGCAGGGUAUAGACCCGAAACCCGGUGAUCUAGCCAUGGGCAGGUUGAAGGUUGGGUAACACUAACUGGAGGACCGAACCGACUAAUGUUGAAAAAUUAGCGGAUGACUUGUGGCUGGGGGUGAAAGGCCAAUCAAACCGGGAGAUAGCUGGUUCUCCCCGAAAGCUAUUUAGGUAGCGCCUCGUGAAUUCAUCUCCGGGGGUAGAGCACUGUUUCGGCAAGGGGGUCAUCCCGACUUACCAACCCGAUGCAAACUGCGAAUACCGGAGAAUGUUAUCACGGGAGACACACGGCGGGUGCUAACGUCCGUCGUGAAGAGGGAAACAACCCAGACCGCCAGCUAAGGUCCCAAAGUCAUGGUUAAGUGGGAAACGAUGUGGGAAGGCCCAGACAGCCAGGAUGUUGGCUUAGAAGCAGCCAUCAUUUAAAGAAAGCGUAAUAGCUCACUGGUCGAGUCGGCCUGCGCGGAAGAUGUAACGGGGCUAAACCAUGCACCGAAGCUGCGGCAGCGACGCUGAUGCGUUGUUGGGUAGGGGAGCGUUCUGUAAGCCUGCGAAGGUGUGCUGUGAGGCAUGCUGGAGGUAUCAGAAGUGCGAAUGCUGACAUAAGUAACGAUAAAGCGGGUGAAAAGCCCGCUCGCCGGAAGACCAAGGGUUCCUGUCCAACGUUAAUCGGGGCAGGGUGAGUCGACCCCUAAGGCGAGGCCGAAAGGCGUAGUCGAUGGGAAACAGGUUAAUAUUCCUGUACUUGGUGUUACUGCGAAGGGGGGACGGAGAAGGCUAUGUUGGCCGGGCGACGGUUGUCCCGGUUUAAGCGUGUAGGCUGGUUUUCCAGGCAAAUCCGGAAAAUCAAGGCUGAGGCGUGAUGACGAGGCACUACGGUGCUGAAGCAACAAAUGCCCUGCUUCCAGGAAAAGCCUCUAAGCAUCAGGUAACAUCAAAUCGUACCCCAAACCGACACAGGUGGUCAGGUAGAGAAUACCAAGGCGCUUGAGAGAACUCGGGUGAAGGAACUAGGCAAAAUGGUGCCGUAACUUCGGGAGAAGGCACGCUGAUACGUAGGUGAAGUCCCUCGCGGAUGGAGCUGAAAUCAGUCGAAGAUACCAGCUGGCUGCAACUGUUUAUUAAAAACACAGCACUGUGCAAACACGAAAGUGGACGUAUACGGUGUGACGCCUGCCCGGUGCCGGAAGGUUAAUUGAUGGGGUCAGCGCAAGCGAAGCUCUUGAUCGAAGCCCCGGUAAACGGCGGCCGUAACUAUAACGGUCCUAAGGUAGCGAAAUUCCUUGUCGGGUAAGUUCCGACCUGCACGAAUGGCGUAAUGAUGGCCAGGCUGUCUCCACCCGAGACUCAGUGAAAUUGAACUCGCUGUGAAGAUGCAGUGUACCCGCGGCAAGACGGAAAGACCCCGUGAACCUUUACUAUAGCUUGACACUGAACAUUGAGCCUUGAUGUGUAGGAUAGGUGGGAGGCUUUGAAGUGUGGACGCCAGUCUGCAUGGAGCCGACCUUGAAAUACCACCCUUUAAUGUUUGAUGUUCUAACGUGGGCCCCUUACCGGGGUUGCGGACAGUGUCUGGUGGGUAGUUUGACUGGGGCGGUCUCCUCCUAAAGAGUAACGGAGGAGCACGAAGGUUGGCUAAUCCUGGUCGGACAUCAGGAGGUUAGUGCAAUGGCAUAAGCCAGCUUGACUGCGAGCGUGACGGCGCGAGCAGGUGCGAAAGCAGGUCAUAGUGAUCCGGUGGUUCUGAAUGGAAGGGCCAUCGCUCAACGGAUAAAAGGUACUCCGGGGAUAACAGGCUGAUACCGCCCAAGAGUUCAUAUCGACGGCGGUGUUUGGCACCUCGAUGUCGGCUCAUCACAUCCUGGGGCUGAAGUAGGUCCCAAGGGUAUGGCUGUUCGCCAUUUAAAGUGGUACGCGAGCUGGGUUUAGAACGUCGUGAGACAGUUCGGUCCCUAUCUGCCGUGGGCGCUGGAGAACUGAGGGGGGCUGCUCCUAGUACGAGAGGACCGGAGUGGACGCAUCACUGGUGUUCGGGUUGUCAUGCCAAUGGCACUGCCCGGUAGCUAAAUGCGGAAGAGAUAAGUGCUGAAAGCAUCUAAGCACGAAACUUGCCCCGAGAUGAGUUCUCCCUGACUCCUUGAGAGUCCUGAAGGAACGUUGAAGACGACGACGUUGAUAGGCCGGGUGUGUAAGCGCAGCGAUGCGUUGAGCUAACCGGUACUAAUGAACCGUGAGGCUUAACCUU